rnacentral:lncRNA from 1 species
AUUCAGACCAUAAAAGUUAUUGUACCCACUUUUAUCUAUUUAAUCCGUUUGUUUCCAACAAUUACGUUCAGAUUACCUAUGAAAACGUUGAGACAUUAGACAAAACUGGUUAUCAUUUAAAGCUAUUAUUUUACUGACGAAUUUAACAGACAACACGAACUUAUUUGAGUAGUAAACCCAGGCUGCAUGCCUGCAUCAUAUGCAAAUACCGACAACUCUGACAAGAAGACUAUUUUCAAUCAAACCAACAAACUUAAACAAGCUUUCAUUUACCAAAGGUUAAUUCACAUCACGUUAACUUGAAAGACAUUGGAUUAAUUUCUACUACAUUUAGAAUUUAUGUAAGCGCUUACUUUAAGCCAAUUAAACAGAGCUCUUAAUUUUGGUAAUACCAUCCGGAGGUAAAAUAUCACACAUACAACGUACACAUAGACACACAUACACAGAGACUGCACAGCUAUUGUUACAGCUAUUGUUUUUUACCAGUAUUUGUGGAGAAGAUACUCAAGAUGCUAGAUUUUUUGCAAGGGCACGCUUAUGGCCAUUUUGCCUCUCCCCUCCUCUUUCUUUCUUUCUUUCUUUCUUUUUUUUUUUUUUUUCUCUUCAGUCUUAGGAAUUAGUGAUGGGCUAGAUAGUAGUUCCUGGAGAGGGGAGAUGAUAAUCCUUUUCGUGAUAAAGGAACUAGGUGGAGUCUGAACUGCCUCUAGAGCUGUAUUUCCAGUCUUGCAAGGAUUUUCUAAGGACAGUUGCUCUUGAUUUCCCAGAAACUGGCUUGUAACUCAAAUUACAUUCCAGGUUGAUCUACCUAUCCAGCUGCAUCACAAAGCCAGUGUCUGACUGACAGCAGCUGGAGAAAGGGUGCAGAGGCCGAUUGCGGGUGUUGACAUAGCUAUAAGAUUUAGUCAAGUCCCGCUCAGCCUGGGCACUUUGUCUCCGAGCCAGCACAGUUGAGGCAGGGAAGCAGGAGGCAAAGGCCUGGAACUGGCUGGAGGCACUCCCAGUGCCAAGAGUUGAGAGUUAAGUCCCUGGCAAAAGUCUUAAGUUUUGAUUUUACAGAAGGUCAAGGUUCUGCUCAGGUCCAGCCUGAACUUUAAACCUCGACUUGGUGACAACAAAGGAGGUGAUGAACAAGACAGACAAAGAAAGGAAAAGAAGAGAUCAGACCUCGCCCUCCUGGCCUCUUCCAGAGGGUUAUCAAGAUAAGAGUCACACAACAGUUCCCGUGCUGGGACACACUAUGCUAGCACGACAGUUCACAGAAUGACUCACAGGUCUCCUACCCUCAUAGCCGACUCAGUAGGUGACUAAAAUACUCAAUGAGUCAACCGUCAAGAGAGGGCACCCCCACUUAGGGUUGCUGGGGUGAUCAGGCCCAGAAACCCAAAGUUGGGGCUCCCAGGGGUGGAGCCUUUUACUCUUUAAAGAUUUCUUUGCCAAUUGCAAAGCUCAAAUGGAGACGAAAAUGGCCAUUGUAACUCUUAAGAGAGACGAAAGAAACGGGUCCAUUACCAUGAAAAAUCCCCCCUGAACCUAGGGCAGCGUCCUACCCAUUGUUCCUACUGUGGGGUUCCUAUAGCAAGGGGUGAUGGGGGCGUCCCCCGGCAUUGCAUCCCUUGUAUACCUUCCCUGUUAUGCCUGGCAGUAACAGGUGCCUGGUGCCUAUUCUGCCUGACAGCAUAGGCCUGGUGAAUGGUUCCCGAGAGAAAAGGAGAAAGAAAAGGGGCCAUUACCUUGAAAAUCCCCCCAUUGGGGUUCCUGUAGCAAGGG